rnacentral:rRNA from 1 species
AUUGAACGCUGGCGGUAUGCUUAACACAUGCAAGUCGAACGGCAGCACGGGCUUCGGCCUGGUGGCGAGUGGCGGACGGGUGAGUAAUGCUUGGGAAUCUGCCUAGUGGUGGGGGAUAACGCUCCGAAAGGAGCGCUAAUACCGCAUACGUUCUACGGAAGAAAGCGGGGGAUCUUCGGACCUCGCGCCAUUAGAUGAGCCCAAGUCCGAUUAGCUUGUUGGUAGGUAAAGGCCUACCAAGGCGACGAUCGGUAGCUGGUCUGAGAGGACGAUCAGCCACACUGGGACUGAGACACGGCCCAGACUCCUACGGGAGGCUG